rnacentral:rRNA from 1 species
UGGGGAAUAUUGCACAAUGGGGGAAACCCUGAUGCAGCGACGCCGCGUGAUUUAGAAGGCCUUCGGGUUGUAAAAAUCUUUUGUAUGGGAAGAAAAUGACAGUACCAUACGAAUAAGGACCGGCUAAUUACGUGCCAGCAGCCGCGGUAAUACGUAAGGUCCGAGCGUUGUCCGGAAUCAUUGGGCGUAAAGGGUACGUAGGCGGAUAAGCAAGUUAGAAGUGAAAUCCUAUAGCUCAACUAUAGUAAGCUUUUAAAACUGCUCAUCUUGAGGUAUGGAAGGGAAAGUGGAAUUCCUAGUGUAGCGGUGAAAUGCGCAGAUAUUAGGAGGAAUACCGGUGGCGAAGGCGACUUUCUGGCCAUAAACUGACGCUGGGGUACGAAAGCGUGGGUAGCAAACAGG